UACGGGGGGGGCAAGCGUUGUUCGGAAUUACUGGGCGUAAAGGGCGCGUAGGCGGCCUUCUAAGUCAGACGUGAAAUCCCUCGGCUCAACCGAGGAACUGCGUCUGAGACUGGAAGGCUUGAAUCCGGGAGAGGGAUGUGGAAUUCCAGGUGUAGCGGUGAAAUGCGUAGAUAUCUGGAGGAACACCGGUGGCGAAGGCGGCAUCCUGGACCGGUAUUGACGCUGAGGCGCGAAAGCUAGGGGAGCAAACGGG
rnacentral:rRNA from 1 species